rnacentral:lncRNA from 1 species
UAUUUUAUAUUAUUAUUAAAAUAAUAGCAUCUAAUUAAUUAAAGCUUACAACAUUACUCACAAGUAACAAACAAAAAAUAAAAAUUAUAACAAUAUAAUUUUAAUAUAAUAUUAUCAUAUUACUGUCAAAUCGAUCAUCCUUUAUCAUCUUAUACGAUACAAUAUAAUUAAUUUGAAAUACUGCAUGUAUAUAUAUCUACCAUUUAUUACAAAAAAAAAUGGCCUUUUACUUCUCUAUACCCUCAAAUCCAUCUAAUAAAAUCCACGACACACCUAUACCCCUCCCAUCCAAC